CUCCUUUGAGACCGGCGCACGGGUGCGUAACGCGUAUGCAAUCUACCUUUUACAGAGGGAUAGCCCAGAGAAAUUUGGAUUAAUACCUCAUAGUAUUUUGUAAUCGCAUGAUUUGAUUAUUAAAGUUCCAACGGUAAAGAUGAGUAUGCGUCCCAUUAGCUAGAUGGUAAGGUAACGGCUUACCAUGGCUACGAUGGGUAGGGGUCCUGAGAGGGAGAUCCCCCACACUGGUACUGAGACACGGACCAGACUCCUACGGGAGGCAGCAGUGAGGAAUAUUGGACAAUGGGCGCAAGCCUGAUCCAGCCAUGCCGCGUGCAGGAAGAAGGUCCUAUGGAUUGUAAACUGCUUUUAUACAGGAAGAAACACUCCCUCGUGAGGGAACUUGACGGUACUGUAUGAAUAAGGACCGGCUAACUCCGUG
rnacentral:rRNA from 1 species